rnacentral:RNase_P_RNA from 1 species
CAGGUCGACCAGGUGAUCGCGGUCCAGCGCUUUGGCGAAGGAUCGAGGAAAGUCCGCACUCCGUAGAGCACGGUGCCGGAUAACAUCCGGAGGGAAGUAAUUUUCUGGAUCGGGCCACAGAAACAAGUAGCCGCUUUCACCCUUGGGUGAAAGCGGUGAUAGUGAAAAGGUGGUGUAAGAGACCACCGGCGCGGGUGGCAACAUCCGCGGCCAGGUAACCCCCACCGGGAGCAAGGCCAAGCAGGGACGUGGUGCUGCUCGUACCGCUGUAAGUUCCGGGUAGGCUGCAUAGAUAGAUGACCACCGCCGAAAACGCUGUUUUCGGAGACAGAAUGCGGCUUAUCGGUCGGCCUGGGGU